UGGGAAGUCAACGUGGCAGCCGUCAUUUUGAGUUCUGUUUCCUUUUUGUCACUUUUAUUGCUUUUAAAAUCUUUUAAAGUUCUGAGAAUGGCAGUAAAUUUGCAACUCGUACCACUUUUUUUUCUGCUUACCUUCAAAACAGUGUCCUUUGCUGAAAUACAACCAAAGAAUCUGUAUGCAGGGAACUCUUUUGAGUUUGUUCAGAGAGAACUACUUCCAGAGUUUUCACAGUUAAUCUGGAUGAAAACAACUUUUCACAAAAAUGACUCAGAAAUCAUUGUAACAUACUUCAAUAAGAGUCAAAAGUUUAACCUUGCCAAUUCUUACAAGGACAGAGUGGAGUUCAGUAUUACAACUUUCUCUCUAACAUUGAAGGAACUGCAGAAAACAGACAGUGGACUCUACUGCACAGCAACAAUUGGGGAAAAAAUUAUAAACGUUUGUCAGUACAAUGUCUCUGUUGUUGAAAGCCAUGGAUCAUCCAUUACCACUUUUCUCCCUUUGAUAUUAUUUUCCUCUACACUAAUCACAAUAUUGUUCUGAAUUGUAGUAUGCAAAAAGAUUAAUACAAGUUUUGAUUAAUCUAUCAA